rnacentral:lncRNA from 1 species
AGAAAGAAAGAAAGAAAGAAAGAAAGAAAGAAAGAAAGAAAGAAAGAAAGAAAGAAAGAAAGAAAGAAAGAAAGAAAGGAAGAAAGAAAGAAAGAAAGAAAGAAAGAAAGAAAGAAAGAAAGAAAGAAAGAAAGAAAGAGAGAAAGAGAGAAAGAGAGAAAGAGAGAAAGAAAGAAAGAAAGAAAGAAAGAAAGAAAGAAAGA